GAUGAACGCUGGCGGCGUGCCUAAUACAUGCAAGUCGAGCGAAUGGAUUGAGAGCUUGCUCUUAUGGAGUUAGCGGCGGACGGGUGAGUAACACGUGGGUAACCUGCCCAUAAGACUGGGAUAACUCCGGGAAACCGGGGCUAAUACCGGAUAACAUUUUGAACCGCAAGGUUCGAAAUUGAAAGGCGGCUUCGGCUGUCACUUAUGGAUGGACCCGCGUCGCAUUAGCUAGUUGGUGAGGUAACGGCUCACCAAGGCAACGAUGCGUAGCCGACCUGAGAGGGUGAUCGGCCACACUGGGACUGAGACACGGCCCAGACGCCUACGGGAGGCAGCAGUAGGGAAUCUUCCGCAAUGGACGAAAGUCUGACGGAGCAACGCCGCGUGAGUGAUGAAGGCUUUCGGGUCGUAAAACUCUGUUGUUAGGGAAGAACAAGUGCUAGUUGAAUAAGCUGGCACCUUGACGGUACCUAACCAGAAAGCCACGGCUAACUACGUGCCAGCAGCCGCCGUAA
rnacentral:rRNA from 1 species